UGCGGUCGAACGCUUUUUCUUUCACCGGAGCUUGCUCCACCGAAAGAAAAGGAGUGGCGAACGGGUGAGUAACACGUGGGUAACCUGCCCAUCAGAAGGGGAUAACACUUGGAAACAGGGGCUAAUACCGUAUAACAAUAGAAACCGCAUGGUUUCUAUUUGAAAGGCGCUUUUGCGUCACUGAUGGAUGGACCCGCGGUGCAUUAGCUAGUUGGUGAGGUAACGGCUCACCAAGGCAACGAUGCAUAGCCGACCUGAGAGGGUGAUCGGCCACAUUGGGACUGAGACACGGCCCAAACUCUAACAGAGCGUGUAGGGAAUCUUCGGCAAUGGACGAAAGUCUGACCGAGCAACGCCGCGUGAGUGAAGAAGGUUUUCGGAUCGUAAAACUCUGUUGUUAGAGAAGAACAAGGAUGAGAGUAGAAUGUUCAUCCCUUGACGGUAUCUAACCAGAAAGCCACGGCUAACUACGUGCCAGCAGCCGCGGUAAUACGUAGGUGGCAAGCGUUGUCCGGAUUUAUUGGGCGUAAAGCGAGCGCAGGCGGUUUCUUAAGUCUGAUGUGAAAGCCCCCGGCUCAACCGGGGAGGGUCAUUGGAAACUGGGAAACUUGAGUGCAGAAGAGGAGAGUGGAAUUCCAUGUGUAGCGGUGAAAUGCGUAGAUAUAUGGAGGAACACCAGUGGCGAAGGCGGCUCUCUGGUCUGUAACUGACGCUGAGGCUCGAAAGCGUGGGGAGCAAACAGGAUUAGAUACCCUGGUAGUCCACGCCGUAAACGAUGAGUGCUAAGUGUUGGAGGGUUUCCGCCCUUCAGUGCUGCAGCUAACGCAUUAAGCACUCCGCCUGGGGAGUACGACCGCAAGGUUGAAACUCAAAGGAAUUGACGGGGGCCCGCACAAGCGGUGG
rnacentral:rRNA from 1 species